UACAGAGGGUGCAAGCGUUGUUCGGAAUUAUUGGGCGUAAAGGGCGCGUAGGCGGUGCGGUAAGUCUGCAGUGAAAUCUCUGGGCUCAACUCAGAGUCUGCUGUGGAAACUGCCGUGCUUGAGUGUGGGAGAGGUGAGUGGAAUUCCCGGUGUAGCGGUGAAAUGCGCAGAUAUCGGGAAGAACACCCGUGGCGAAGGCGGCUCUCUGGGACGGUACUGACGCUGAGACGCGAAAGCGUGGGGAGCGAACAGG
rnacentral:rRNA from 1 species